rnacentral:rRNA from 1 species
UGUUGCCAGCACGUCGUGGUGGGAACUCACGGGGGACCGCCGGGGUCAACUCGGAGGAAGGUGGGGAUGACGUCAGAUCAUCAUGCCCCUUACGUCCAGGGCUUCACGCAUGCUACAAUGGCCGGUACAACGGGAUGCGACACCGCGAGGUGGAGCGGAUCCCUUAAAACCGGUCUCAGUUCGGAUUGGAGUCUGCAACCCGACUCCAUGAAGGCGGAGUCGCUAGUAAUCGCGG